ACCACGUUGGUGAACCCAGCGCAUCCAACCUCUUAAUAAAUUCGCAUGCUUCCGUACUGAACUCACACAACCUUCUCCACAACACCAACAACCUCGCCGGAAAAUCCUCGCCGUUUCCGGUUACCGGCGAUGGCCUCGGCGACGUCGUUUUCGGGCCCCACCCUUCGCCCCUCCGUUCCAAUUUGCGCCCACAGAAACAACGACACUCGAUUCUCUCAGCUUCGAGUCUCCUUUAACUUUCCCGCGAACCCCACUUCCCUGAAGGGUUUGAAUUCGACACCGUUGAAGAAAAGAGAAGCUUUCUCAAAUGGGUCUUCGAGAACGCGAAGAAACCCAUUGUUCUUUGUCCGCUGCACAGUUUCAUCAAGUGGAAAGAUUACACAACAGGAAUUCACGGAAAUGGCAUGGCAAGCAAUUAUCUCAGCACCAGAAGUAGCUAAGGAGAACAAGCAUCAGAUUGUGGAGACUGAGCACUUGAUGAAAGCUUUGUUAGAGCAAAAGAAUGGACUUGCUCGCCGGAUCUUUUCUAAGGUUGGGGUAGAUAAUACUCGGCUUCUGGAGACUACUGAUAAGCACAUUCAGCGGCAACCCAAGGUUGUAGGGGAAUCCACUGGUUCAAUGUUGGGGCGUGAUUUGGAGGCAUUGAUUCAGAGAGCCAGGGACUUCAAGAAAGAAUAUGGAGACUCAUUUGUGUCAGUUGAGCACUUUGUUCUUGGUUUUGCCCAAGAUAAACGAUUUGGGAAGAUAUUGUUUAGAGAUUUUCAAAUAUCUCAGCAAGCACUAAAAUCUGCCAUAGAGUCCAUAAGGGGACGCCAGUUAGUUAUUGACCAAGAUCCUGAAGGAAAAUAUGAAGCCUUGGAAAAGUAUGGGAAAGAUUUGACAGCAAUGGCUAAAGCAGGAAAACUUGACCCAGUCAUAGGAAGAGAUGACGAAAUACGCAGGUGCAUUCAGAUUCUCUCCAGGAGAACAAAGAACAAUCCUGUGCUAAUUGGGGAGCCUGGUGUUGGAAAGACUGCAAUCUCUGAAGGACUUGCUCAAAGAAUUGUUCAAGGAGAUGUUCCUCAAGCUUUGAUGAAUCGAAGGCUUAUAUCCCUUGAUAUGGGUGCACUUAUUGCUGGAGCAAAGUACCGGGGAGAAUUUGAGGAUAGACUGAAAGCUGUUCUGAAAGAAGUAACAGAAUCUGAUGGUCAGACUAUCCUUUUCAUUGAUGAAAUCCAUACAGUUGUCGGGGCAGGUGCUUCAAAUGGUGCUAUGGAUGCUGGUAAUCUCUUAAAACCUAUGCUUGGUCGGGGGGAGCUGCGAUGUAUUGGUGCAACAACAUUAGAUGAGUAUCGAAAGUAUAUUGAGAAGGACCCUGCACUUGAGCGUCGUUUCCAGCAAGUUUAUGUUGACCAACCUUCUGUUGAGGAUACCAUUUCAAUACUAAGGGGACUGCGGGAAAGAUAUGAGCUGCAUCACGGAGUUCGCAUUUCUGACAGUGCACUUGUGGAUGCUGCAAUUCUCUCAGAUCGAUACAUAAGUGGGAGGUUUUUGCCUGAUAAAGCCAUUGAUCUGGUUGAUGAAGCAGCUGCUAAACUAAAAAUGGAAAUUACUUCAAAACCUACUGCACUUGAUGAGAUUAAUCGGUCAGUCCUGAAACUCGAGAUGGAGAGACUCUCUCUCAUGAAUGAUACAGACAAGGCUUCUAAAGAUAGAUUAAAUCGUCUUGAGACAGAACUCUCUCUCUUAAAAGAGAAACAGGAUGAAUUGACUGGACAGUGGGAGCAUGAAAAGUCUGUAAUGACUAAUCUGCAGUCGAUUAAAGAGGAGAUAGACAGGGUAAAUCUUGAGAUUCAACAGGCUGAGCGAGAGUAUGAUCUUAAUCGUGCUGCUGAAUUGAAGUAUGGUAGUCUAAACUCCUUGCAACGCCAACUUGAAAGUGCAGAGAAAGAAUUGCAUGAAUAUAUGAACUCUGGUAAGUCUAUGUUAAGAGAGGAAGUUACUGGAAAUGACAUUGCUGAAAUUGUAAGCAAGUGGACUGGUAUCCCCAUUUCUAAACUUCAACAAUCAGAUAGAGAGAAGUUGUUGUAUCUAGAGGAAGAGCUCCAUAAGCGUGUUGUCGGUCAAGAUCCUGCUGUCAAGGCAGUAGCUGAGGCUAUCCAACGUUCAAGAGCAGGUCUUUCAGAUCCCCAUCGCCCAAUCGCUAGCUUCAUGUUUAUGGGACCAACGGGUGUAGGAAAGACCGAGCUAGCCAAGGCCCUUGCUUCAUAUUUGUUCAACACAGAAGAAGCACUUGUACGGAUUGAUAUGAGUGAGUACAUGGAAAAGCAUACGGUUUCAAGAUUGAUUGGGGCUCCACCUGGAUAUGUUGGGUAUGAAGAAGGAGGGCAACUAACAGAGACCGUUCGUCGCCGACCAUAUGCUGUCAUUUUGUUUGAUGAGAUUGAGAAGGCACACUCAGAUGUUUUCAAUGUAUUCCUUCAAAUCUUGGAUGAUGGAAGGGUAACUGAUUCACAGGGUCGGACCGUAAGUUUUACCAACACAGUUAUCAUUAUGACCUCAAAUGUUGGAUCUCAGUACAUUCUCAAUACAGAUGAUGACACUGUGCCCAAAGAGUCCACAUAUGAAGCUAUAAAACAGCGGGUAAUGGACGCUGCAAGAUCCAUCUUUCGCCCAGAGUUCAUGAAUAGAGUUGAUGAGUAUAUUGUUUUCCAGCCUCUAGACCGCGACCAAAUAAGUAGUAUUGUCAGGUUACAGUUGGAGCGUGUGCAGAAGAGAAUUGUGGAUCGUAAGAUGAAAAUCCAAGUUACAGAAGCUGCCAUCCAACUUCUUGGAAGUUUGGGGUAUGAUCCAAACUACGGUGCUAGGCCAGUCAAGCGAGUGAUUCAGCAAAACGUGGAGAAUGAACUUGCCAAGGGUAUUCUUAGAGGAGAGUUCAAGGAAGAAGACACAAUUUUAGUAGACACAGAAGUCACAGUACUUGCCAAUGGUCAAAUUCCCCAACAAAAGCUAGUUUUUAGGAGGGUUGAAGCUGAUUCCAGUUCUGCUGCUGAAGACAGACGGGAAGGCUUUCCACAGAUUCUGUGAACGCACUUCACUGCUCCUCGUUUCUCCACAUGUUAGGUUUCACAACAAAUUUUGAGUAUAGGGCCUAUAGGACACUAGUAUUCUAUGGAGAGCUAAGAAAAAUAUCUUCAAUUGUGUCACAAAUAAGCUUGGGGUAUUUCUGCCAUUUCGAGGGUCAAAUUCGGCUUGAAAGUGAGAAUUGGGAUGUGAAUUUGGAUUUUGUUUUGUGUAAUUAGUUUAAUUAGGUAGAUUAGAUAAGCCUAAUCAAGGCUAAUCCCUUUCUUUUGAGUAGUCACUAUAUUUUAGUGGAAGUUAGUUAGUUAGUUUAUUUUUUGUAAAGAAUAGAUUUAGUUACUUGUUGUGUAAGCUUUAGAAUCAAAUUCUUUUUUCUC